rnacentral:pre_miRNA from 1 species
GGAGGUUGAACAUCCUGCAUAGUGCUGCCAGGAAAUCCCCACUUCCUACUAUGAGGGGGCCGGCUGGUUGCAUAUGUAGGAUGUCCCAUCUCCCGGCCCACUUCGUCA